CCUACGGGAGGCAGCAGUGGGGAAUAUUGGACAAUGGGGGGAACCCUGAUCCAGCGACGCCGCGUGAGUGAAGAAGUAUUUCGGUAUGUAAAGCUCUAUCAGCAGGGAAGAAAGAAAUGACGGUACCUGACUAAGAAGCCCCGGCUAACUACGUGCCAGCAGCCGCGGGAAUACGUAGGGGGCAAGCGUUAUCCGGAUUUACUGGGUGUAAAGGGAGCGUAGACGGCGAUGCACGUCUGAAGUGAAAGGCGGGGGCCCAACCCCCGGACUGCUUUGGAAACUGUAUGGCUGGAGUGCAGGAGAGGUAAGUGGAAUUCCUAGUGUAGCGGUGAAAUGCGUAGAUAUUAGGAGGAACACCAGUGGCGAAGGCGGCUUACUGGACUGUAACUGACGUUGAGGCUCGAAAGCGUGGGGAGCAAACAGGAUUAGAUACCCUUGUAGUC
rnacentral:rRNA from 1 species